rnacentral:rRNA from 1 species
AACGUAGGGUGCAAGCGUUGUCCGGAAUUACUGGGUGUAAAGGGAGCGCAGGCGGACCGGCAAGUUGGAAGUGAAAACUAUGGGCUCAACCCAUAAAUUGCUUUCAAAACUGCUGGCCUUGAGUAGUGCAGAGGUAGGUGGAAUUCCCGGUGUAGCGGUGGAAUGCGUAGAUAUCGGGAGGAACACCAGUGGCGAAGGCGACCUACUGGGCACCAACUGACGCUGAGGCUCGAAAGCAUGGGCAGCAAACAGG